rnacentral:rRNA from 1 species
CCCUUAGAUGUUCUGGGCCGCACGCGCGCUACACUGACGAUGGCAACGAGUUUUUCCUUCGCCGAAAGGUGUGGGUAAUCUUUUGAAACAUCGUCGUGCUGGGGAUAGAUCAUUGCAAUUUUUGAUCUUGAACGAGGAAUUCCUAGUAAGCGCGAGUCAUCAGCUCGCGUUGAUUACGUCCCUGCCCUUUGUACACACCGCCCGUAGCUACUACCGAUUGAAUGGUUUAGUGAGGACUCCUGAUUGGCGCCGCCGCCCCGGCAACGGAGCAGCGGACUGCCGAAAAGUUGUUCAAACUUGAUCAUUUAGAGGAAGUAAAAGUCGUAACA